rnacentral:rRNA from 1 species
AUUGAACGCUGGCGGCAGGCCUAACACAUGCAAGUCGAGCGGAGCGGCGGACGGGUGAGUAAUGCCUAGGAAUCUGCCUGGUAGUGGGGGAUAACGUCCGCACCUGGACGCUAAUACCGCAUACUAUCAGAUGAGCCUAGGUCGGAUUAGCUAUUUGGUGGGGUAAAGGCCUACCAAGGCGACGAGCCGUAACUGGUCUGAGAGGAUGAGCAGUCACACGGGAACUGAGACACGGUCCAGACUCCUACGGGAGGCAGCAGUGGGGAAUAUGGGACAAUGGGCGAAAGCCUGAGCCAGCCAGGCCGCGUGUGUGAAGAAGGUCUUCGGAUUGUAAAGCACUUUAAGUUGGGAGGCGUUACCAACAGAAUAAGCACCGGCUAACUUCGUGCCAGCAGCCGCGGUAAUUC